rnacentral:rRNA from 1 species
UUCGCAAUGCCCGAAAGGGUGACGAAGCGACGCCGCGUGUGGGAAGAAGGCCUUCGGGUUGUAAACCACUGUCGGGAGUUAAGAAAUGCAAGGAUAUGAAUAGUGUCUUUGCUUGACUAAGGCUCCGGAGGAAGCCACGGCUAACUCUGUGCCAGCAGCCGCGGUAAUACAGAGGCGGCAAGCGUUGUUCGGAAUUAUUGGGCGUAAAGAGCACGUAGGCGGCUAUGUAAGUCGGUUGUGAAAGCCUUCCGCUCAACGGGAGAACAGCAUCCGAUACUACAUGGCUUGAGUGCGGGAGGGGAGAGUGGAACUUCUGGUGGAGCGGUGAAAUGCGUAGAUAUCAGAAGGAACGCCGGCGGCGAAAGCGGCUCUCUGGCCCAUAACUGACGCUGAGUGUGCGAAAGCUAGGGGAGCAAACGGGAUUAGAUACCCCGGUAGUCCUAGCCGUAAACGAUGGGCACUAAGUAGAGGGGUUUUA